rnacentral:rRNA from 1 species
UACGAAGGGGGCUAGCGUUGCUCGGAAUCACUGGGCGUAAAGCGCACGUAGGCGGCUCUUUAAGUCGGGGGUGAAAUCCUGGAGCUCAACUCCAGAACUGCCUUCGAUACUGUAGAGCUUGAGUUCGGGAGAGGUGAGUGGAACUGCGAGUGUAGAGGUGAAAUUCGUAGAUAUUCGCAAGAACACCGGUGGCGAAGGCGGGUCUCUGGGCCGUAACUGACGCUGAGGAGCGAAAGCGUGGGGAGCGAACAGG